AGAGUUUGAUCCUGGCUUAGGAUGAACGCUAGCUACAGGCUUAACACAUGCAAGUCGAGGGGCAGCGAGAAGAAAGCUUGCUUCUUGUCGGCGACCGGCGCACGGGUGAGUAACGCGUAUCCAACCUUCCCCUUAGUAGGGCAUAGCCCGUAGAAAUGCGGAUUAAUACCCUAUGUUGUUCGAUGCGGACAUCUAAGUUGAACCAAAGGUUUACCGCUAAAGGGAUGGGGAUGCGUCUGAUUAGGCAGCAGGCGGGGUAACGGCCCACCUGGCCUACGAUCAGUAGGGGUUCUGAGAGGAAGGUCCCCCACAUUGGAACUGAGACACGGUCCAAACUCCUACGGGAGGCAGCAGUGAGGAAUAUUGGUCAAUGGGCGAGAGCCUGAACCAGCCAAGUAGCGUGCAGGAUGACGGCCCUAUGGGUUGUAAACUGCUUUUAUGCGGGGAUAAAGUGAGGGACGUGUCCCUUAUUGUAGGUACCGCAUGAAUAAGGACCGGCUAAUUCCGUGCCAGCAGCGGC
rnacentral:rRNA from 1 species